AUAUAUAUUGCCAAAUAAAAAAAAACUUUUACUCCAAUUGGUGCAUUAUUUUCCUCUAAUGUGUGUGAUUUCACAGAAAGUAAACAGCUGUGCCCACAAGUGGGAGUGGCUCCGGGGAAAACUUCUGUUUUAAAGAAAUGGUGUGAGAUAGUCUGAGCGAAAGUUACACCUUCCCUUGCUGAGGGCAUACCUGAUGAACUCUGGCAGGAUCACAGACUCUAAUUUGAUCAUUUCUGCCACACAUGACUCAUCUUGUCUGCUCAGUAUUCCCCAGAGACUCCAUCAACCAACAGACAUCCUUCAAAUCAGACACCUGAAAGCUCAGAUAAAAGGCCUUGGACGCCAGCCCAGCGUGGACUUUCCCAGUGGCUGUAAGCCAGGUGUGCUCUGGCCAAGUCAACAGUGACACACCGAUCCUGAAAAGGAGAAGAUCGACACCACUUUCACGUCUGCGUGCAGAAUACGAAGCUGAAGCUAGCAGGUGGCACAAGACUGGAAACAGGAGAAAAGGUCAUGAACAUGUUUUCCCAGAAUGUUUAAUUAUUCUUUUAAAGUGGACA